rnacentral:rRNA from 1 species
GAAUGACUCUCGGCAAUGGAUAUCUUGGCUCUUGCAUCGAUGAAGAACGUAGUGAAAUGCGAUACUUGGUGUGAAUUGCAGAAUCUCGUGAACCAUUGAGUCUUUGAACGCAAGUUGUGCCCGAGGCCUUGCGGUCGAGGGCACGCCUGCUUGGGCGUCAUCG